rnacentral:rRNA from 1 species
CAAUAGCGUAUAUUAAAGUUGUUGCAGUUAAAAGGCUCGUAGUUGGAUUUCUGGUUGAAGCGACCGGUCGGGCGUUGAUUCGUCUGCACUGGAGUCGGUUUUGGCCAUCCUCUAGGAAAGUGCGUCUGGUAUUAAGUUAUCGGGCGUAUGAUCCUGGUCUUUUACUGUGAAAAAAUUAGAGUGUUUAAAGCAGGCCUUCGCCUUGAAUACAUUAGCAUGGAAUAAUAAGAUAGGACUUUGGUCUAUUUUGUUGGUUUGCAGACCGAAGUAAUGAUUAAUAGGGAUAGUUGGGGGUAUUUAUAUUCCGAUGUCAGAGGUGAAAUUCUUAGAUUUUCGGAAGAUAAACUUAUGCGAAAGCAUUUACCAAGGAUGUUUUCAUUAA